UUUCGUACCUGAACAAUAUUCAAGCAUCGCCAUCUUCGUGCUUCAUUGUCGACGUCGAAGGUAAGCAUGAAUUCUUUCAUCUUGGCUCGCGUUUGUUACCAUUGAAUAGGACUUGGUUAGGUGAGCGGUGAUACCAAGCUUGUAGACUCCAUUACCUCCAUACGAGGUUUGAAUUGGGAAAGAUCUCACCUAGGGUUCUUAGAUUUUUUUAGGUUUGGUUAACAAAGGGGAAUUGGAGUAAGGGAUUGGUGGAAUCCGGUAGAGGAGAGUGAGGCGUCUCCUUUGAUGUAGGUCGCGUAACUUUCGGACCUCUGUCGCUCCAGUGGCGGAGGUAUUCCGGCGAGAGGGCUUUAGAAGAGGGAGAUAGUACGGGUGGCAAACGGGCAAGCCUGACCCGUUUAGGCCCGCCCCGCAAAAGCCCACAAAGAAACGGGGCGGGGCGGGACGGUCAUAGUUGAGGAUGCGGGCUUAAAACUUAGACCCGUCCCGCAAAAAAGUGAGGGCGGGGCGGGGAAAGCCCGCGGGCACUGCACUCUUUAAGUCUAAAAAUGCAAAAAUUUAUGUAAAUACACGUGCCCGCAAAAGCCUGCGAAAAAACGGGGCGGGGCGGGGCGGACACAUUUGAGGGUGAGGGCCUAAAUCCUUGGUCUGCCCCGCACAAAAGUGCGGGCAAAACGGGCGCCCCGCGGGCCGAGCCCGUUUUGCCACCCCUAGGAGAUAGUGUAUGGUGAGUCAGGACUUGUGAAUUGAGUUUGUGAACUCCCUUUCCUUCAAGAUUGAAAAUUUUAAUUCCGUAUCCGUAUGUUUAGUCUCAUACCCUACAAUUUUUAAAAAAUAUCAAUUUUACCCUUAACUUGUUUUAACCAAUUUAUCAUUUUAUUUUUACCAUUCCGUUGAAAUUUUCAAAAAUUACACAUUUCACCCUCGCACCGAAACUCCUGGAAAAAGACGUCUGGUAUAUACUUUUCCAAACCGGAAGACUUCACAAAAGACAUCUGGAACACAUCAAGAAGUGAACCGGAAGAUUUCAAGAAAGAGUUCUGGUUCUUUAAUAAAAAAGACACGUUCCGGAACACUUAUUGAAAGAGUUCUGGUAAUCAAAGUGACACAUACCGGAACUCUUUGAAGAAGUCUUCCGAUUUGUGUUUUAUGUAUUCCGAAACUCUUUUUUGAAGACUUUCGGUUUGCAUUUUUUUUUAUAAUUUUUUUUAUUGUGCAGGAAUGGAAAAUCUUCCCCAAAUAUGUGUAGAUACUUCUGAUGACGACUGAAAGAUUUGGUACACGAGAAUAGGUGAUCAGAUGGAUUAAAGAGGUUGGAAUCGAUAAUAAAGUAACUGUUAUUAUCAGUCAUUCAGAUACUGAAACAGGGAAGAGAGGGAGAAGUAACAAAUUAAUAUUUAGUUGUGAUAAAGGUGGGAAACACAAGAGUACUGAUAGUGGAACCCAAAGUGCGUCCAAGAAAUGUGGAUGCCCAUUUAAAAUCAGGCCGACUCCGGCGAAAGAUGGGUCUGGUUAGAAGAUUGAUGUAAAAUGUGGGUUACAUA
rnacentral:lncRNA from 1 species